ACUCUGACGCAGCCACGCCGCGUGCCGGAAGACGGCCCUAUGGGUUGUAAACGGCUUUUAUUUGGGAAGAAYCUGGGGGAUUAGUYCCCCACUGACGGUACCAAUUGAACAAGCACCGGCUAACUCCGUGCCAGCAGCCGCGGUAAUACGGAGGGUGCARGCGUUGUCCGGAAUCAUUGGGUGUAAAGGGUGCGCAGGCUGGCGCMUAAGUCGGAGGUGAAAUCUUGCCGCUUAACGGUAAAAUKGCCUCCGAUACUGGGUGUCUUGAAUCUGACAGAGGUCGGUGGAAUUCGUGGUGUAGCGGUGAAAUGCAUAGAUAUCACGAAGAACAUCAGUGGCGAAGGCGGCCGGCUGGGUCAGUAUUGACGCUGAGGCACGAGAGCGUGGGGAGCGAACAGGAUUAGAUACCCUGGUAGUCCACGCUGUAAACGAUGUAUGCUAGUUGUAGGGCUUUCGGGCUCUGUGACGCAGUUAACGCAGUAAGCAUACCACCUGGG
rnacentral:rRNA from 1 species